rnacentral:sRNA from 1 species
GCCGGGUGCAGUCAUGCACACCUGUAAUCCCAGUUGCUUGGGAGGCUAAGGCAGGAGGAUCAUGAGUUCAAGGCCAGUAUCUGCAAAAAACUGAGGUGCUAAGCAACUCAGUGAGACCCUGUCUCUA